UUCUUGGUCAUUUAGAGGAAGUAAAAGUCGUAACAAGGUUUCCGUAGGUGAACCUGCGGAAGGAUCAUUAAUGUAACCGGACCGGUCCUCUGCCGUAAAACGCAGCGGAUCGGAAAGGGAGAUAUCAUACACCCUAUGUUUAUUUACCUUUGUUGCUUUGGCGGGCCGUCCUUUUAGGCGUCGGCCCCGGCUGAUCGCGCCCGCCAGAGACCCAAACUCUUCUAUUGGUGAUGUCUGAGUACUAUAUAAUAGUUAAAACUUUCAACAACGGAUCUCUUGGUUCUGGCAUCGAUGAAGAACGCAGCGAAAUGCGAUAAGUAAUGUGAAUUGCAGAAUUCAGUGAAUCAUCGAAUCUUUGAACGCACAUUGCGCCCGCUGGUAUUCCGGCGGGCAUGCCUGUUCGAGCGUCAUUAUGACCAAUCAAGCUCUGCUUGGCCUUGGGGCCCGCUGUACCGGCGGCUCUUAAAACUAGUGGCGGUGCCGGCUGGCUCUAAGCGUAGUAAUACUUCUCGCUAUAGGGUCCAGUCGUCUACCCGCCAGAACCCUCAACUUUCUUAGGUUGACCUCGGAUCAGGUAGGGAUACCCGCUGAACUUAAGCAUAUCAAUAAGCGGAGGAAAAGAAACCAACAGGGAUUGCCUCAGUAACGGCGAGUGAAGCGGCAAUAGCUCAAAUUUGAAAUCUGGCUCUUUUAGAGUCCGAGUUGUAAUUUGCAGAGGGCGCUUUGGCUUUGGCAGCGGUCCAAGUUCCUUGGAACAGGACGUCACAGAGGGUGAGAAUCCCGUACGUGGUCGCUGGCUAUUGCCGUGUAAAGCCCCUUCGACGAGUCGAGUUGUUUGGGAAUGCAGCUCUAAAUGGGAGGUACAUUUCUUCUAAAGCUAAAUAUUGGCCAGAGACCGAUAGCGCACAAGUAGAGUGAUCGAAAGAUGAAAAGAAUC
rnacentral:rRNA from 1 species